UGGGAUGUGGGGCAGUCUGGUCAGCCUACUCGGUUUGGAACUGAGGUGUCGUGAGUUCGAAUCUCACCAUCCCGACCA
rnacentral:tRNA from 2 species